AUUGAACGCUGGCGGCAGGCCUAACACAUGCAAGUCGAACGGUAACAGGAAACAGCUUGCUGUUUCGCUGACGAGUGGCGGACGGGUGAGUAAUGUCUGGGAAACUGCCUGAUGGAGGGGGAUAACUACUGGAAACGGUAGCUAAUACCGCAUAACGUCGCAAGACCAAAGAGGGGGACCUUCGGGCCUCUUGCCAUCGGAUGUGCCCAGGUGGGAUUAGCUAGUAGGUGGGGUAACGGCUCACCUAGGCGACGAUCCCUAGCUGGUCUGAGAGGAUGACCGGCCCCACUGGAACUGAGACACGGUCCAGACUCCUACGGGAGGCAGCAGUGGUGAAUAUUGCACAAUGGGCGCAAGCCUGAUGCAGCCAUGCCGCGUGUAUGAAGAAGGCCUUCGGGUUGUAAAGUACUUUCAGCGGGGAGAAAGGGAGUAAAGUUAAGAUCUUUACUCAUUGACGUUACCCGCAGAAGAAGCACCGGCUAACUCCGUG
rnacentral:rRNA from 1 species